rnacentral:misc_RNA from 1 species
GAUGAAGAACGUAGCGAAAUGCGAUACGUAAUGUGAAUUGCAGAAUUCAGUGAAUCAUCGAAUCUUUGAACGCAUAUUGCGCUCUCUGGUAUUCCGGAGAGCAUGCUUGUUUGAGUAUCAGUAAACACCUCAACUUCCAUAUCUUUUUUGAAAUGGGAGUUGGACUUGAGUGAUCCCAACGCUUUUCCUCACCGAAAAGUGGCGGGUUACUUGAAAUGCAGGUGCAGCUGGACUUUUCUCUGAGCUAUAAGCAUAUCUAUUUAGUCUGCCUAAAAAACAGAUUAUUACCUUUGCUGCAGCUAACAUAAAGGAGAUUAGUUCUUGUGCUGACUGAUGCAGGAUUCACAAAGACAGGCUUCGGCCGACUUUGUAAACUCGAUCUCAAAUCAAGUAAGACUACCCGCUGAACUUAAGCAUAUAAUAAGCGGAGGA